AAGAGCAGCUAGAAGAAUAUGCUCUCUGCAUUCUCCAUGGGCUGAUGCCAAGUUUAAAUUCCCUCUGUUAGAGCGAACCCUCGUUGUUAAUCUGAGAUAGCCCAGCAGGUAUUUGACUAAUUACCGAGGAGUGCCUUAUAGGACUUUUGAAAACACACGAAAUCUCUGUGAUGCUUUCAACUGUGAGAUGGUGUGAGGCAAGGGGAAAUGAAGGAAUAUUUCUUAAACCUAUCCCAACUGUUCCACACAUCUUUCUGUAACUCUGUGAUUUAGAACAAAAUUUGGCAUGCCUGAAACUUGAUGUUUAUCUUUAUUGUAGAUGUCAUAUAAUUAUAAAUCAGCUUUCAGCUUUAUGCAGGGAAUAUUUCUCAGGAAGAACAGUCGCAUAUGGCUAUAAUUCUACUUACAGAUGAACAGUCUUGUAGUUAAUGCAAAGACCUCUGGACUAAAGUCAUGGAUCCACACCUGGCCAAGUAGAAGAUGACCAGGAAUCACAGCAAAGUAUGGCAUGGAUGGUGGAUCUACUAGAAAGACCAACAUCUGGCUUGAAAACCAUAUCCAAAAAUGCUCAUCCAUGUUCCUCAUCAAAUUGGAGUGAGCUUUCAUUGUCCACCAUCUGUGUAAAUAUCAUCGGUGUCAAUCAUCUCUCCAGCAGUUUCCCUGUCUCCCUUACUUAAGGUUAGCCUCAAGAGAAGAUCACAUGAAGUUAACUCCUCCUAAGGAUUUUUUUGUUUUGUUUUGUGAUUGCUUGGCCAAAUAUCAGGCUGGAGCCAGAGGCCAGACAAAUGGUUCUUUGAAGAUUUUCAUCAAUGGAGGUUUUUAAGAAGAGAUUGGACUGCCACUUGUCUCAAAGUGUACAGAUCUCCUGCUUGAGCAAGUUGGGCUAGAAGACCACCAAGUCCCUUCCAGCUCUAUUCUGAUUGAUCUAGAGACAAGGAUCACACUGCAGAGUCAAGGAGCUGUGGCAAAAAAACCCCACAAUUAAGAGAACAGACUCCAAAUGUGACUCCUGAAGGACCACAUUUCCUAAAUUGGGAGUGGUGCAAGAGAAGAACCUUUCCCACAGGCCUGAUUAAGUGACUUCAAAACUUGGAGUAUCUUCGAAAGCCCUAAGAAUCUGUCCCUGACACAGUUAAGCCUUAAAGCAUGUAACACCUUAAAUGCUGCAAGGGCAGAUCUUUCAACAUUGACAUCAUGUGAGCUGAUUAAUCAUGAAAAAGCUCACUUUUAACUGCCAUGUUUUGCACCAAAUGGGCACUUUUUCAAAGGUAGCUGAAUGGAAAACACGUUGCAAAGUCAAGUUGCAACACAGCCAAGAUGUGGAUAAUGGUUGCCAAAUACAAUCAGCUCAGGAACAACCACAGACCCAACGGUAUUCUUCUUGCCAGCAACAAGGGACAAUGAAGGAACCAUCUCUGAACUAAUUCCUAUCACCUAAUUUAUUUUCUUGUUUAUUCUCUCAUGUAUAAGGUGUUUAGAACAGAAACAUUUCCUUAUAUUAAUUCCAGGUAUAUUAUUCUUGGUAAAAACUGAAUCAUCUUUCUUAUCCACAUGGAUUGACAAUACAGGUAGUCCUUGAUGUACGACCACAAUUGAGCCCCAAAUUCCUGCUGCUAAGCGAGACAGUUGUUAAGUGAGUUUUGUCCCAUUUUACGACCUUUCUUGGCACAGUUGUUAA